AUUGAACGCUGGCGGCAUGCCUUACACAUGCAAGUCGAACGGUAACAGGGAGCUUGCUCCGCUGACGAGUGGCGAACGGGUGAGUAAUGUAUCGGAACGUACCUUUUAGUGGGGGAUAACGUAGCGAAAGUUACGCUAAUACCGCAUAUUCUCUGAGGAGGAAAGCAGGGGACCUUCGGGCCUUGCGCUAAUAGAGCGGCUGAUAUCAGAUUAGCUAGUUGGUGAGGUAAAGGCUCACCAAGGCGACGAUCUGUAGCGGGUCUGAGAGGAUGAUCCGCAACACUGGAACUGAGACCCGGUCCAGACUCCUACGGGAGGCAGCAGUGUGGAAUUUUGGACAAUGGUGGCAACCCUGAUCCAGACAUGCCGCGUGAGUGAAGAAGGCCUUCGGGUUGUAAAGCUCUUUCGGCCGGGAAAAAAUCGCAUGGGUUAAUACCCUGUGUGGAUGAUGGUACCGGAAUAAGAAGCACCGGCUAACUACGUGCCAGCAGCCGCAGUAACAC
rnacentral:rRNA from 1 species